rnacentral:tRNA from 1 species
GGGGGUCUGGCUCAGUGGUACAGUGCCUGCUUGGCAAGCAUGAGGUCCUGAGAUCAAUUCCUAGUACCCCCC